rnacentral:rRNA from 1 species
UACGUAGGGUGCAAGCGUUGUCCGGAAUUAUUGGGCGUAAAGAGCUCGUAGGCGGUCUGUCGCGUCUGCUGUGAAAGCUCAGGGCUUAACCCUGAAAUGGCAUUGAAUACUGCGGUGCUGGAGGUUUGGAGGGGGGACUGGAAUUCUUGGUGUAGCAGUGAAAUGCGUAGAUAUCAAGAGGAACACCAGUGGCGAAGGCGAGUCCCUGGACAACACCUGACACUGAGGCACGAAAGCCGGGGGAGCAAACAGG